rnacentral:ncRNA from 2 species
AAUCACUUAUAUGACUGACGGAAGUGGAAUAACCACAUGAAGUAUAAGGGACUAAUAUAGCCGACCGUCUGGGCAAAUGUU